rnacentral:rRNA from 1 species
CGGACGGGUGAGUAACGCGUAGGAACCUACCUGGUAGCGGGGGACAACCUGGUGAGAACCAGGCUAAUACCGCAUACGCCCUACGGGGGAAAGCAGGGGAUCUUCGGACCUUGCACUAUCAGAUGGGCCUGCGUCGGAUUAGCUAGUUGGUGAGGUAAUGGCUCACCAAGGCGACGAUCCGUAGCUGGUUUGAGAGAAUGAUCAGCCACACUGGGACUGAGACACGGCCCAG